rnacentral:lncRNA from 1 species
GGCUGUGUGUCCAGGUUUGCCUGUCCACUUCACAGGGCUUACUAAUUAUGCUACAGAUCAGAUGCGAGCUCUCUGCAGCUGCUACAGUACCAUGCCUGCCUGCCUGCCUCCUUGCUCCUCACCAUGAUGGUCAUAGACUAAUAAUCCUCUGUAGCGGAAAACAGGAAGUGAAGUCACAAUAUCAAAGGGCAUCUCCAACCUGAGGAGCGGUGGUCUGUAGACAUCAUUACACAGAGGCCGGUGAGAGCAUCAGCUCCCAGAAAGCUUCCUGGACUUAAAAUCAGGAAGUCGCUGUGACCUUUGAGAUGACGCCACUGUUCCAGCAGGGGAAGUCCAGGCACACUGGCUUAGGGAGGGACGCAAUGCCACAGUCACGUCUUGAUGGCAAGACGUUUCAUGUGAAGGCUAGGGACAGAUAGGACAGUAGUUACAGGGGCAGAACUGAGAGAGAGCUUUUAAAAAGUGGUUUUACUAUUAUAUCUUAAUUGCACAUAAUAAUUGUUUUCAUUGUGCAUUUUGAUCACUUUUAUCCCCUCAACAUCUUGUCCCUCCCACCCUCCAUUAAUCCCGUUCCCCUUCUCAACUAGUCCACCUUCUAACCUCAUCCCCCCUUCCUUUAUUUCAUGACCCAGUAAGUUUCAUUAUUGUUAUUUACAGGAGCGCCGGGUUGUUGUUUGUGGGAGCAUGGGUGCCUUACACCAAUGAAGAAAAUAUCUUUCCUUUCCCUGUCGACUGUCAGAGAGAGAACGUUUUUAAAGAGUCGGGGAAAGUCCAGGGGAAGCCAAAGACUAGGAGGAAGGGAGGAAGGGGGAGGAGAAAGAGGAGAAAGGGAGGGGGAGGAGAAGAAGGAAUGGGGGGAAAGAGGAGGAGGGACCAGAAAAGACCCUGGUGUCUAAUCUACCUUUGUUGAAAAAGUCACAGGACGAAGGCAGGUCUGAGGAUAGGGCUGGGGGUGGGGUGGGGGUAGGAGAAGGAAGAGGUGCUGUGUGGCAUCCCCAUUCUGAACAGAGUCUCCCAGCCCUGGACUGCUCCUUUCCUUUAGCCUCCCCUGGCUUGCUCUGAUCUCUACUGUUACUGAGUUUAGGAGGUUCUAGGUCUAUGCCUGGCUCCCAAUGUUUGAGCACCAGCAUGUAUUACUCAAGGGCUUCCCUAGCUGCUGAACAGGGGCCAGACCAUGUUGAAGUCAGCACCGAGGCAAACACACAAACCUUUGAGGUCAGGGAUCUGGGCAUCCAGAGGAGACCCAGAGCAUAUUCUUGUUCACCUCGCUCUCCAGCAAAAUGCUCCAGUGGUUUUUCCUGGUUGGGCCUCUCUGGGUUCAGUCCCCAGGCAGACCCUUUGUUUUCUUAGGCAUUGGUUGCAGAAUUACUGGCAGGCUGGACUCUAGGACAUUGCCUCCCCCGCUUAGUGGUUUUGAAACUUUCAAAGAGAUAGUUCAGUCCAUCUUUCAAAUAACAUUCCAGAAAUCCCUAAAAUAUCAAAUGGCUAACGGUUUGUGUUACACAUAUAUAUUCCCACUAUAGCCUCAGCUUAUAUUCACACACCAUAGAGCCCAGUAAUGUGAACCGAGAGCAGCUUUACAGAUGGAAAAAUGUAGAAGGGUUAUGGGAACCUGGCACCGUCUGAAGCCAGCCUUGGGGUUCAGAUUAUUUUUAGAGUUUAUUUUGGUCACACUGUAAUGAGAAAUUCCUCCUUCACACAGAUAAAGGAUUAUAUAAACCAUAACAAUUAAAAAAAAUAGUCAGCCUUGCAACCUUGAAAUAUUUCUGUAAGUCAUCAGAGAAUGGCAGGGACCUGAUAUCUCCCAACGUCUUUACAACGAACUUGUUUUGUAACAUACCUAUUGGUCUGCAGUGAGGAUACGUUGAGAGCCAUUAUGCUACGGCAUCAAGAGCCACCUUGAGAGAGCUGGUUGUGCUGGCACACACCUUUAUGCUCAGAACUCAGGAGGCAGAUGCAGCCAAGUAUCUUUGAAGUCAAGGACAACCUGGCCUAUAUAAUAGUGAGUUCAAGUCCCGCCAGGGCUACAAAAGUGAAACCUUGUCUCACAAACAAAACAUCAAACCUGGUGACCUGAACCUUGUGACCAAUAAACAUUUACUUACUAACUCUUUUGUGACAAAUUCCACAGGCAGCUGAGGACUCAGCCCAGGUGAGGCUUCCGCCUGAAAGAUGAGCUAAAGCCAGAGGGAAAUUCCAUCCAGGACCUCACAUGUGACUCGUUCCAAGGGCUCUGAAGACAGAUCGUUUCCAUCCACAGUCCCCAUAUUACGUGGGGUGAUGACUGAAAGCUGGAGGGAGCCACUGGAGGUGAAAUUCAAGAAUUAAGUGAAGAGUGAAGAGAGAAUUCUUGGAAGGAAUGCAGAGACCCAGGCCUGGGAGGGGAAGAGCUGCUUUUACACUGGGAUAGGGUUUGGAGGUAGCUGAUGCAUGCUGGAGUUCAGGACACAAACCUGGAAAGUGGAUGAAGAAGGAGAUGCAGAGAAGCCGAAGGCCCUGCUUAGACUGCCAUGAAGAGAGGAUUUGCACCCAGAUGGUUCUGCCUAGACCUUCAACAAAGCUCGCUUGGGUUUGAAGAUGAAUGCCAAUGGAGACAUACGUGUUGAUUAUCGACUCUGUGGCAAAGCAUCGUGGUUUGAUAACAGUAAAAGUCGGUUCUUUCCGAAACUCACAGUCAUAAAGAGAUGGGUGUGGUCUGUCUGUCACCAAGGGUGUUGCUUUGCUGGGCUCCGAACAAGUCAGGCCCUGAUUAGACUCCAGUUAAGAAGCUUGUGUGUGUGUGUGUGUGUGUGUGUGUGAGUGUGUGUGUGUGUGUGUGAGCGCGCGCACAGAGGAUUGUCCUGUACACAUCUGUGUGGAUGGCAACUGGCUGUGUGGACCACCUUUGCCCAAAUGACUCCAGUGGCCUCUGGCAUCAGAAUCCCUGUCCCUGCUGGGAGCAGGGGCAACUCUGGAUGGUCUAUGCUGGCAUCCUGACUCCAGAAACUGAAAGGGAGACACCUGAAGCUUGGAAGUUUCCCUGGCCUGUGGUAAAGCAAUUCUUGAGGGAAAAUGGCAGAGGCCAAAAGGAAGCAAGACCACACUAUUGCCUUAACCAAACGGGAGAGGAGAGGAGUUUGACUCACUCCGUGUCGUUUGCAUCCAGAGCCACCAUCCUGAUCCCUGAAGUGUGGAAGCUUCAAAUGGUUUGCCAUCCAAGAAGAGCCAGGGGCUGACAAGAUGAUUCAGUGGAUUUGAGCAUUGGCCACCAACCCUGAUGACCUGGACUUUACCCUCCAGUUGUCCUCGGACCUCCACACAUGUCAUGACACACAUUCCCCAUCCUCCAAUACAUUAAUAAAUCUAAAAGGGGCCCUCUGGUACUUCUCUCUCCUGGAUAUUGUCUCCAGCCUUAUCUAGGCCAACAGUAUACACAAUACGGGGUUAAGGACAGCUACAGCGUUGCAGAGGGGUCGCGACCAGUGUUCAGAACUGCUCUUGUACGUUGAACGCUGAACUUUGUCCUGCGCUGCACUGUCCAGUGUGGAUUCUGGGGGAACCAGUGACGUGUGCCUCUAAGCACCCCUGGGUUUGCCCUUGUUUCAACCUCAGAGACAAUGGAAGUUCUGCUCCAAUCAGAGACUGACUCCCUCCGAGUUAAGUCCUCUCUGGACCACCCCACCUCCCUGCUCGGGUCAUGUGCUUCCCCCAACGCGUGUCCUGUUCCCUGCUCAAGGGUUGUCAGGCUUUCAUAAGAUAACUCCUGUGGUUAUCACUCAUCCAGAUUCUUACAGCCAGCUGCUCAAAGCUUCCAGAUAAUACACACAAUACUUACUUCUGUUUUCAAUUGCUGAUCUUCAAAAUAAAAUAAA